ensembl:lncRNA
ACUACUGGAUAAGAUUGUGAUAUACAAGUGAAUGUACAAUGCUCUGGUUUGUCUGUAUUGUGGCAGCUGAGGUGAUGUUUCUGAUAAUUAUUUUCUGAUAGGUUGAGCCUGUUUAAGAUGACUCAGAUUAUGUUUUAUAAUAAGCCUAUCAGCUACUAUCAAACCAGGUUGUCAGGUCUGUAAAUCACCAGUGAUAUUCUGAUGAGUGGACUCAAACAUUAAAAGGGUGUUCAUAAACAAUAAAUUGGCUUUAUGGCAUAUACUCUUCCAGUAAGAACUGCAACAGAUGUAAAUGAUGAACAUACAAAUAACAACAACAAAGGAAGAAUCUGAUAACUUAGCCUCUGGGUAUGAGGUGUGUGUGGUUCUAAAAGAUCACAUUUAUCUACUCAAUACAGUUUUAUUUAUAUAGCACCAACUGAGAGUUGCCUCAAGGCGCUUUAUAUUGUAAGUUAAAGACCCAGAUGAACAUGUCUUGAUGCAUGUUCAGUCAUCGAGGUAAGGAUAGUCGAUUCUGCCCAUCUGGACGUAGCAUUUUUUUUAGUGGGAGAAACGUUUCCUGACUCAUCCGAGUGACUUCUUCAGUCUCAGCUGACUGCAGGUUUCCCCAAUCUUAUAAACAGUACAUCUGCAUAAUGACUGAAACCAGCCCACUGAAGGAACAAUGGGCUGUGAGGUCAGUUUCUUGAUCAUUGAUGUACAAAUUGUCAUGACCAUUGAUCAACAACCACUGAUUGAAAACCAUGAGUCCCAUUCACAGAGAGUUGGGGAAUAUCUGCAAUCACAGCAUUGUGAGAUGGUAAAAGAUGUCUGAGAAGGUUCUCAGGUCAUCGUAUCCAGAUGCUUUUCUUUCCAAGCUCCUUAGUGACAGAUGUACCCUUAGGCCGCCUCCUCGAUUCAGAGAUGGUCUUUCCCUUUUCACAUGAAUGUCCUCCUUGAUUCCUCCCUGUCCACUUUCCAGUACUCAUGGUCUUUGAUGACCAUGGCAAAACUGCACCAAGACAUUUAAUGUUGGUUUUUACUUGCAUUUGUCGCUGUUUUGUUUGUGUCAUGUCACAAUGCUGGCUGAAGCACUUAACAUAUUUAGCAUUGCAGUCGUGUUGUGUGACUUAUAGAAAAGCUAUACAAUUAAAGACUUCCUAGUGGUCAUGUCAUGUUUUUGUAACUAGAAAA